CCUACGGGUGGCAGCAGUGAGGAAUAUUGGUCAAUGGACGGGAGUCUGAACCAGCCAAGUCGCGUGAAGGAUGACUGCCCUAUGGGUUGUAAACUUCUUUUGCCUGGGAGUAAAGUGCCGCACGUGUGCGGUUUGGUGUGUACCCGGUGAAAAAGCAUCGGCUAACUCCGUGCCAGCAGCCGCGGUAAUACGGAGGAUGCGAGCGUUAUCCGGAUUUAUUGGGUUUAAGGGGUGCGUAGGCGGACGGUUAAGUCGGCGGUAAAAUUGUGGGGCUCAACCUCGUAGUGCAGUUGAAACUGGGUGCCUUGAGUGGGCGAGAGGUACGCGGAAUGCGUGGUGUAGCGGUGAAAUGCAUAGAUAUCACGAAGAACUCCGAUUGCGAAGGCAGCGUACCGGCGCGCAACUGACGCUGAAGCACGAAGGCGUGGGUAUCGAACAGGAUUAGAUACCCGAGUAGUC
rnacentral:rRNA from 1 species